rnacentral:lncRNA from 1 species
AUACAGGGAAAAAUAGAUAAAAAGUAAUUUGAAAACGUGGUCACCUCUUUAAAUGGCUCAAGGGAAAUGAAAGAAUCCUGAACAUUAGAUUUUCUUGAAAAAUAUGAAAGGAGAGAAGCAUCAAUAGGUUUGCUACGCAGGAGAGAUGAUACUGGACAAAGAGCAUAGACUAUUUGGCCAGUAUCAUUCUCCUACGAAAUAAAUCUUAGAUGACUGUAUAUAGAGGUAGAAUCAAAAUUCGAAAUUUAUAGGUUCUGAAUUUAUCAUAAAACUCAUAGCUCAUCUCUUUUGAAGUUAUUGCACGUUUAGAAGAGAAGCAAAUUACCUUUCCUUUCUCUUUUCUCAUGCAGGGAAUAGAACAAAAAGGGACCGCAGAUAAUACUUUCCCACCCUUUUUUUGCUUCCUUCUCAAGUGCUCGAGUCGUUAUUUCUUCUGUGUAGUUCAGUUUUGGUUGCACGAGAGGAUAUGCCUUGUUUGUACUAUAUGGGAAAUUUCACAUUUUUAUGGUGCAGUAAUGAUGUAUGUUUGUUUUUUCCAGCAGGGUGUUUCAAUGUGGCGGUGGAGGACUAGAUUGGAACUUCUUUCAACCAGGAUCGACACUUCAGUCUGCAAAUACCAGAUGACGAAACAGGAAAAAUAGUCUAGAACUAUUAGGACAAGCAGAUUAGUUUGUUCUUCUAAUGAGAGAUUUCUUUAGUCAGUCUAAAGAUUACUAUAUUUUUCAAACUAGUAGGAAAAAUUUAUCUAGUCCGACUGAGGAAAGAGAAAGUCAAAAAUAUUCACUUUUUCUCAAGUAUCAUCUCACCAAGAAUUUUCCCUCGCUUCUUAAGCGAACUUUCCUGUAUAGCAUAAAAAGUAAACACUAGAAAGAAAGCGGAAAGAUAACUGAUCUAAGCAAGCAACAAUUAUCAUAUUGACAAUUUGUAAAAUGAAGCAUCUAGAGCAUACUUCAGCUAUCAAGCAGACGCAACAGUGUGCUCUAUGACUUAGAAGCUAUAGCACGCUAAAUAAAUUUGCAAUUUAGCAUAACACCAAGCAUAACUUUGGAAGUUACAAUUAACGCAACGCUAUGGAAAAGUGCAGCACUAUGAGGCAUGUCUUUAUAGUUUUACAUAGAAAAACCACAGUUUCGAUCAUACAGACUCAAACAUAGCCUCCAUGAAGAUGCAGAAAGUUUGGAAAUUGCAAUACAUGAUGCUUGUGUAUUUCCUUCAUCAAUUUAGACAAUACAGCAGCCAGUUACUACCAUGA